CGUGUGUGAUUAUAUCGUAUAGAGCUGCUGAGGGGAGUGUGUCAAAGCGUGCAUGCCACACAAUGUGCCUGGAGAGAUUGAUGUUUUUGUCAUCCACCUGCUUCAAAGCCGUAAAAAGCCGGCUGAUGCAAAUAGAGAAAACCCUAGCAAGGCAGGCUCACAAACAAAAGAGGGGGAACCUCACUGCUCCUCUUUGCACAUCUGUUUUGAAGGAAUAUCUGAGGGUUUCUGUGGUGACGCACACUGGGCUCUAAUGAACACUGAAUCUGAGUCUUGUACCUGGAAGUGGUGUGAGCGUGGUGUGUGAAGUCUAAACUCGGGAUUACAGGCCUUGCACCCGCUGAACGACACAAGCUGAUGGGAUUACAGGAGACGGGUUCCUGUCCUGCCCCCAACCCCUCCCCCCACUUCACAGGAUUUGGAUGAGUGAAAAUGGGCCAUGCAGUUAUGAGAUGGGAGCAGAGGAGGCAGCCAGGGUGGCAUGCUGACUGGAGGAGUGCCAACUGCUCUCAACCAGUGAAAACGAUACAGACCUCAUCAGGUCCCGGCAGCUGCUACCUUUGCACCACAAGUCCACCAGCAAACAGCUUUUAUGCAUGCAGUGGACGUGGCCUGUAAUGUCUCUCUGAUUGGACUGCACCGGCUGAUGGUUUUAAUAAACACACACUCCGAGGAGGUCAGAGGUCAACAUCAUUUAGAUUCAUUUGCUGCACAGGUGGUGGGCCUAUGUAGAGGGGACUUCCUGUUGCUCUGCCAGAUUUGACUCAAACAAGCUCCUGCUCCCAGGCCGGACUACAUGAAGGUGCCCCUGUUAGGUGCAGAGUUCCACUUCUGGAAUUGGAUCCAUAACUGGAAGUAGUGUUUUGAACAACACAGCUGUCUACAGACCUGAGGGCUGUAAGAACAACAGGAGCUGCUUCGCACCAUAAAGCUGCUGGACAAACCUCUCCCUGGAUAGCUCACACCUAACCCCUUUGUCAUUCAUCUCCGCUCCCCGACUCCUCGCCUGCUCCUUCUCCCUUCUCCACGUGGCCUAUGUCACCUCCCUUUUCCUAUGCACUCGCUGGCUAGUUGACAGUUAGAGCCGGUCAAGGUCAUCCACCCACCCACACUCCUUCCCAAGAGCUCGAAGAGGUGCAGUAGUGGAGCUGAAAGCCCUACGCCCCAGUGGCUCCCUGACUCCCUGUGAGAACCAAGUGAAGUGCGGGCUCCUCUGCUGGGAGAGCAGGCUGCCGGCCUGAAGGUUUGGCCUCGGACUGACGCUCCUUCUGUGGCGAGCCCGGGCCAGACACAGCCUGCCAGGAGCUGACUUGACCUCCUCAAACUGAUGUGGCACAGGCUGGCAAAGCGGUCACUGCUGCUGCACAGUUUGGGAGGAAAAAGAAAACGAUCUCUGCCCCUUUCUCACUUGCUCACUGAGCGCAGCUUUAUCCUUUGUUCUUUUCCACAUGAAUUUUCUUUUUUUCUACAUUUGGUACUUAGUUUCUGCAAAGCACUGAACACCGAUAUUAAGAACUCAUAAAUUUAAAAGGGCUCUCGUGAAAUUUAAAGGCAUAAAUCUGUCCAAACUUGUAAUAAAGAUUACUUUAAUUUA